rnacentral:rRNA from 1 species
AUGUACAUUCCUACAACAUAGCAUUAAUGCAUCAUAUCCCAUUAUAACUCCGCAGUUAAGUGCUCUUAGGCUAGAGUAGUAUUGGUAUGGGUGAGUGCUCGUGAAGCCCUAGUGUUUUGCAUG